GAUGAACGCUGGCGGCGUGCCUAAUACAUGCAAGUCGAGCGAACAGACGAGGAGCUUGCUCCUCUGACGUUUGCGGCGGACGGGUGAGUAACACGUGGAUAACCUACCUAAAAGACUGGGAUAACUUCGGGAAACCGGAGCUAAUACCGGAUAACAUGUUGAACCGCAUGGUUCAACAGUGAAAGACGGUCUUGCUGUCGCUUAUAGAUGGUUCCGCGCCGCAUUAGCUAGUUGGUAAGGUAACGGCUUACCAAGGCAACGAUGCGUAGCCGACCUGAGAGGGUGAUCGGCCACACUGGACCUGAGACACGGUCCAGACUCCUACGGGAGGCAGCAGUAGGGAAUCUUCCGCAAUGGGCGAAAGCCUGACGGAGCAACGCCGCGUGAGUGAAGAAGUUCUUCGGAUCGUAAAACUCUGUUAUUAGGGAAGAACAAAUGUGUAAGUAACUAUGCACGUCUUGACGGUACCUAAUCAGAAAGCCACGGCUAACUACGUG
rnacentral:rRNA from 1 species